rnacentral:tRNA from 1 species
GCCAGAAUGGCCGAGAGGUCUAAGGCGCUGCGUUAGGAUCGAUGUCAGUCGACCAGCUGAUAUAGGUUUCUCUGAGUCGCAGUCAGCAUAGCUGGCGUGGGUUCGAGUCCCGCUUCUGGCG